rnacentral:ncRNA from 1 species
CAGAGUAGAAAUUGAUGCGUCAAGUGCUGACAGAACGGGGAGUUGUCUGUCGGACGAAAGUAUUUUUACUGCGGUAUCAAUUUCGCAUCCCGCUGU